rnacentral:lncRNA from 13 species
UGCAUCACAAAACAAACAGUGCAUUAAGAUGAAAAUAUUAUUUUGUGGAAGUUUCAGUGUGUUGUCCUGGACUCAGCGCUGAAAAUACAGCAGUAAAACCAUUCCCCUCUCUGCACAUAACUUGGGCAAGGACUGGAUGCUUAAGGAAGAUAACAGAUUUGAUGAAGAAAUUCAGAAACACAAAACUGACAAAUGAAAUAAACAAGUUUAUCGUAUUUCCUGUAUGAAAGCAUAAAGAGGAAAGUUUCAAAGGAAACAACUUUCAAGUGACAGAACAUGUAAGAACAUGUGAUUUAAACGAGUUUACGAAGUAAGAUUUAAAUACAGGCUUUUAAGUUGGCUGGAUGAUCUCUACUCAGUUCUUUAAAGAUUCUGAACUGUUUUGUUCAAUGACAGAAAUGAUUUAACUUUAUUAAUAACUUUAUUAUGUUAGUUAAACAAACUGAAACAUAACGAAAUAGAUAAAAAGAAGAAAAAGAAAACCUCAACAACUUAAAUCCAUCAACACCCAGCAAAGAAGCCCCAAAUUAUCACUCAAUCUGGGUCAUUAAAACUAACAUCAAAAUAAAUUAGGAAUUAAGCAAUACAGCUAUCAAAUUAAGACCAGGCCUAUUAUCAGUCUCCCUUCUUUGAACUGUCUUUUGGUUAUGAUGAUUUUGUCUCCUGGAACUGCAUCAAGCAGUGGGAUUACACAACAGACACCAGGAGAGCACUCU